rnacentral:rRNA from 1 species
GAUGAACGCUGGCGGCGUGCCUAAUACAUGCAAGUCGAGCGAACAGACGAGGAGCUUGCUCCUCUGACGUUAGCGGCUGACGGGUGAGUAACACGUGGAUAACCUACCUAUAAGACUGGGAUAACUUCGGGAAACCGGAGCUAAUACCGGAUAAUAUAUUGAACCGCAUGGUUCAAUAGUGAAAGACGGUUUUGCUGUCACUUAUAGAUGGAUCCGCGCCGCAUUAGCUAGUUGGUAAGGUACCGGCUUACCAAGGCAACGAUGCGUAGCCGACCUGAGAGGGUGAUCGGCCACACUGGAACUGAGACACGGUCCAGACUCCUACGGGAGGCAGCAGUAGGGAAUCUUCCGCAAUGGGCGAAAGCCUGACGGAGCAACGCCGCGUGAGUGAUGAAGGUCUUCGGAUCGUAAAACUCUGUUAUUAGGGAAGAAAAAAUGUGUAAGUAACUAUGCACGUCUUGACGGUACCUAAUCAGAAAGCCACGGCUAACUACGUG